UCACGGUCAGGUAGAGCGCAGUGAAAGUCGCUCGUGAACCUAGAACCGGGCAAACCCAAUAGGUACCGUGAACAGCAUAGUGACGCAGCAGUGUCUCGCACGAGCUUCCCAUCAUUCAUUUCACAAGUUAUCAGGGGCUUAGCAUUGAAUGGCACUGGACCUGAUGCUCAGCGUUGUCGGUGAGCAAUGAGGUCCUAUUAGAUGUGGUUUCAUCUCGACUUCAUAUCCAUCAGUUGUGGGAAUUUACAAGGAAGGUUGAUCUAACUUGGAAACAGCGAAGAUGGACGUAUCGCAAACCAACUUCUGUCUAUUUAGUGAUAUCUCAAAUUCGGUAAAUAUCGAGACAAAAUUAAUUUUACCGAAUUGCUGCAAAGUGGUCCGGUGGCGCAGCCGUGUCAUAUAGGCAUCCUGGAGAGUGUGGCUAGCCGAGUCACUGCGUUCGAACCUCAGAGAAGAAUUUGCGGUGACAAGCAGGUUAAUUUGAAUAGCCCGUGAGAAAAUCCCUCACUUGUAAUUAUGUGAGUGAUGGUCUAACGACUUGAACUUUUCUCUCCGCUAUCUUUAUUAAAGAACGAAAAGGUUGCAUUAAUUUGGAAUUGAAGGGAUCAUAUCAAGUCUCUCUCAUGGAUUGUGCCGAUGUUGUAUUUUACUUUGAAUUCAAGCCCACAGAGUCGCCUUAGGGACUUGUCAACUGAUAUUUGUUUCAUUUUUCAUGUUUCAACACCGCUGCAUUGGAUCAAAAAUGGAUUUGUCAUUGUAGACUACUCCUGCUGCUGAAGACCGCGCUCUCCUUUGGGUGUUUUUGACUUUUCUUUCUCAACGAUGCAGCUCAUCCGACUAGCGUGGGCUUUAACGGGAGCUGCAAUCUGCUGUUUUGUUAUCCUCCUUAUUCACUCACAUGUUCUAAAAGAAGGUCAGUUGGCAGCGGGUACUUGUGAGAUAGUUACUCUGGACCGGGACAGCAGUCAGCCACGGCGGACCAUAGCACGACAGACGGCGAGGUGUGCCUGCAAAAAGGGUCAGAUUGCAGGCACCACGAGAGCCAGUCCGGCUUGUGUAGACGCUCGCAUUGUGAGGAGCCGGCAGUGGUGUGAUAUGAUGCCUUGCUUGGAAGACGAGGGCUGUGACCUCUUAGUAAACCAGUCGGGCUGGACCUGCACACAGCCUGGGGGCCGGGUGAAGACCACCACGGCCCUUUGACAACACACACAAAAACAGAAGGCAUUUCCAGACAGACAGACAGCAAAAGUCAACCUCUUUUCAAGGACAGAUAGGAGAGAAACAACAAACUGCAGAUCCUGGCAGGCUAGAGCGACACAGCAAGGUCUCCUGACGAUGGCGGGGAAAGACUCUCCGGAAAGAGAGAGGGGAUGGUGUGUGAGCUGCUUCCCAUGGUCAAUCGCCUGUGUGGAUCAUACGUUGUCUUAUCAUCAGCUGUCCAUCCAUUGUCCUGUGCAACAGAGUGAAACCACAUCAAAUCUACGGUGCCAAAGGCCCGGACUCCGAAUACAGGAGCUGGAACCGAUGGACUCUGCAAUACUGUAUUAUUCUGCGGGAGACCAAACUUAUUCUUCAGUGGGUCGUCUUGAAGUGGGUCGUCUUGAACUUCUGGAUAUGACCCAGGACGAUAUUAUCUUUUGGAGUUUACACUUGGCAACUCCUCUGCAGUGUUUUUACAGAAUACAGACCAAAGUUAAAGACCGUGUUAUGGAGGACACAGUGGACUAUGGGAUAAGGGGUUUAGAGACUUAUUAAAGUUGAUAAAACAUUCAAUCCUGUAUUCCCACUUACACUUUGAUAGACAUACCCACAAAUGUACACACAGUGACUUAUUUCGCAGAGUAAUUGUGUACAAAUGAAUGACAAUAAUUGGAAGGCACAAGAAAUAAGUCAAAGGACAUGGUGUAAUUUGUCAAUGACAUUUAUUUUAGACUACUAAACUGUACUUGUGUACUCACUGCUCUAUUUUGAACAUUAAUUAAAUCAGAUUUACAUUUUC